GACGAACGCUGGCGGCGUGCUUAACGCAUGCAAGUCGAACGGAAAGGCCCUGCUUUUGUGGGGUGCUCGAGUGGCGAACGGGUGAGUAACACGUGAGUAACCUGCCCUUGACUUUGGGAUAACUUCAGGAAACUGGGGCUAAUACCGGAUAGGAGCUCCUGCUGCAUGGUGGGGGUUGGAAAGUUUCGGCGGUUGGGGAUGGACUCGCGGCUUAUCAGCUUGUUGGUGGGGUAGUGGCUUACCAAGGCUUUGACGGGUAGCCGGCCUGAGAGGGUGACCGGCGACAUGGGGACUGAGAGACGGCCCAGACGCCUACGGGAGGCAGUAGGGGGGAAUAUUGCAGAAUGGGCGGAAGCCUGAUGCAGCAACGCCGCGAGCGGGAUAACGGCCUUCGGGUUGUAAACCGCUGUCGCCGGUGACGAAGCGUGAGUGACGGUAAUGGGUAAAGAAGCAACGGCUAACUACGUG
rnacentral:rRNA from 1 species